AACUUCUGUUAAGUUUCUCAGGAUCCACAUAAGAUCUCAUCUGAUCUCUGAAGCUAAGCAGGGUCAGGCCUGGUUACUACUUGGAUGGGAGACUACUGUAAAUUUUAAAUUACAUACGUAU
ensembl:rRNA 5S_rRNA 5S ribosomal RNA